rnacentral:rRNA from 1 species
UACAGAGGGGGCGAGCGUUGUUCGGAAUUACUGGGCGUAAAGGGCGCGUAGGCGGCCUGUUAAGUCGAACGUGAAAUCCCCGGGCUCAACCCGGGAACUGCGUCCGAUACUGGCAGGCUUGAAUCCGGGAGAGGGAUGCGGAAUUCCAGGUGUAGCGGUGAAAUGCGUAGAUAUCUGGAGGAACACCGGUGGCGAAGGCGGCAUCCUGGACCGGUAUUGACGCUGAGGCGCGAAAGCCAGGGGAGCAAACGGG